AAUACGAACUUGAUUUCUUUCACUAUUAUAUUAAAGUAAAAUGAAUAAGAUGUGUUUCGAGGAGAACACACUGAAAACUAAGAUGGAAAACAUUUUAACCAACCUGCAUUGUUUGACUGCGACUCUACGUCUGCUAUGAUAAAGAGCUUCACAAAUUCUAAAAGCAAUGGCAUUGAAACAGAUAGCGUCAUUUUUCUCCAGAUUUUUUAUGGUAUUUUGACAAAUUUCUGAUUUAAACAAGCUCUUCACUCCUCUCGACACAGGUACGUCUGAUUUACACGAAUUUUGCCAUAUAUAAGUAGAGACGUUUGUUCAAAGAACAAUUUUUUUUAAUUGUUUGGUUUCUGAUGUCUGAUAAAUGACUAACAAAGCGUUCAAAAAUAUACUGGCGAUAUUGCCAAAGUGAUUCUUGUUGCUCUUAUAAUAACUACUAAGUUCGUCUAUUCUCACAGGAUAAGAUUCGUACCGUUAUAAAUGUCACUAUUUUCAGACAUGGGAUUUCUAGAGAAAAACUGCUGUUAUGUGAGUCAUAACAGGUCCCUGUUAGUGUUAAAUAUUUUCUAUUAACCGAAACUGGUACUUAACGCUCUAAGUGCCAUAUGUAGUGAAAUGCAUCAUAAUAUAACUACUCCAUGCGUUCUGCGUUAAAGAAAUCAAGAUUGACAAACUUUUAGGCGGAUACACAUAAUGUGUGUAGCAUCGUGUUGUGACUCUCUUUGGGCCAGAUGUUUUUGUCAAUUAAGUUUCGUUUCGUGAUUAUUGCUCGCUCAAGCAAAGGCCGCUAAAGGCUUGAAUUGUUCGACACGGCGGUUGCUACAUGAAAAAUGCAGACACACGAACUGAUAGAGAAAAGGGAAGCUGUAAAGCAAUACAUUUGUUUUGAUGUAAAGGAAGUUUCUUGUUUGGUUCAUUUUUAACCUUUUACUUUGUUACCCAUUCGCUGAUAAAUGUGCUUUAAUUCCCCUAGUUAUUACUGUAUUUUAAGUCUACAAUAUUUAAUCAAUCUUAGCACAAAUUUUCCAAUAAAACACUUCAAGUUAUUGUAACAAAAAACAAUAAAAAUGGCCGGCAGAGGUUUUAGCUAAGUAGAUGACCAAUUACAUUAAGCAAUUUUAGCCCGGGCUAAGUUUCAGCCAGGGCCCGUUAUAGUAUCCUAUCAAAAUAGCGUACGCGAUUACAUGAAAACAAUUCUAUGUAAUGUGCCAGAUGCAUCGCUAGAUCCGUUACUUGUAUCCAUCACGUAGCAGUUAGGACGGCUUAUAGCAAGUUUUUCUUUAAAGUCGAUUAACCUUUUUUCUCUAGGUUUUUUCUGUGUCAAUUUCUCGCAAAAUUGACUGCACAGCAUGUUUAGGAACUUAUGUGGGUUUACUUGUGUUUAACUGACGUGUAAGCUAAACAGAACAAUAUCUUUUAAUCAAACAUGUGCGUCAACGAACUCCUUAAUUUAUUUCUCAAGGUCAUCAUAGUUGUAGUCAAUGUUUCGCGUUUUUAGCUUAAAACUGGCCAUUAACCUUUUAAUUAUAGCAUUGUUAAAUGUUUAACAUACUGUAUGUCACGAUGUUUUUUUGAAAACACACCAAUUUCUUCAUACAUUAAUACUUUAGAAAAAUUAAAGAAGAUAAGUGUAAAACUCUUCUCUUGCAUUAGCUAGUUCUUGUGGAACGACCGCAUGUAGUGCUCCUGUCAUUACGAAUAAUUUAUGUGUGUAAAAGUUUUAUCGUGACUUGGCAUUCUUCACUUGCACACUAUUUAAAUUUUAUAAGAUAUGCUAUAAUUCUAUAUGUCAAAGAAAUGCUAAAUACAAAUGAGAGGACAUAA